AUAUUGGUAGUAUAAUUUUGUACAGUUGCCUUCCAAGCAAAAAGGCCUAUAGGCCAAUAUA
rnacentral:tRNA from 1 species